GACGGAGGAUGCAAGUGUUAUCCGGAAUCACUGGGCGUAAAGCGUCUGUAGGUUGUUUAAAAAGUCUGCAGUUAAAGGUUGUAAGCUUAACUUCAAAAAUGCCGUAGAAACUUUUAAACUUAGAGGAUGGUAGGGGUAGAGGGAAUUUCCAGUGGAGCGGUGAAAUGUGUAGAUAUUGGAAAGACCACCGAUGGCGAAGGCACUCUACUGGGCCAUGACUGACACUGAGAGACGAAAGCUAGGGGAGCGAAUGGG
rnacentral:rRNA from 1 species